CUGUCCCAAGUCAGGAGCCUGUAAUUCAGUGGUUGUCGUUUGUUUAUGUGUUACAUAUUUGUUUUUUCGUUCAUUUCUUUUACAUAAAUAAGGCCGUUAGUUUUCUCGUUUGAAUUGUUUUACAUUGUCUUAUUGGGGCCUUUUAUAGCUGACUAUGCGGUAUGGGAUUUGCUCAUUGUUGAAGGCCGUACGGUGACCUAUAGUUGUUAAUGUCUGUUUCAUUUUGAUCUUUUGUGGAUAGUUGUAUCGUUGGCAAUCAUACCACAUCUUCUUUUUUAUAAAUACAUACAACAACGAACAACACAGUACAACCGGCUCCUCUGAUAAAAUAGACAUACAAGUACACACAACAACGAAAAACACAGUACAACCGGCUCCUCUGAUAAAAUCGACAUACAAAUACAUACAACAACGAACAACACAUGGACCAGAUAAUCAGACUGGGUAUUGACACACAAUGUGAUGGGGAUAUCCAUUAAAUCCUCCACAUUUCCCAUUCUAUAAACUAGACAUUGUAAAAGUUAAACAUAUAGAAAAUAGCCUGCAUAUUCCAGAAACCAACAUAUUGGCCGCCAACCGCUGAAACAAGUCUGAAGAAUAUGGAUAGAAAGGUUUAAAAUGAUAGCUGCUACAGACAUUUGGAAAGGGCUGGAUUCAUUAAAUCGGCAGUGGUGGUUCAGAAAUGUUCAAGGGGUCUGGCUUCCUGAGACUGCGGGCUUACUAUAGUCAUGCUUCAGUGAUUCCCUAAAUAAUCAACCAAAUUUUGAUCACAAACGGGUGGCUUGUUCCCUGCCGCCACUGGUCGGUAUAGUAAGCACAAAACAACUAACUGGUUGGUAUAGUAAGCACAAAACAACUAAGAGAGAGACACUGAUCAUAAAGUACCACUCUUGGAUUUCUUGCGGUUAAUAAAAGCUAGUUCAAAACCAAAUUUCUAAUACGCCGUAGUAAGUAAAUAAUGUUGUACAGAUUUAAAAAAAGACAGCAUACAAUAUGGUGUACCCAGUGGUCUGUGAGUCCGUUCGUUCGUUCGUCCGUCUGUCCCACUUCAGUGGGUUAAAGUUUUUUGUUAAGGUAGUUUUUGAUGAAGUUGAAGUCCAAUCAACAUGAAACUUAGUACAUAUGUUCCCAAUGACAUGAUAUUUCUAAAUUUUGUGGCCAAAUUAAAGUUUUUAUCACAUUUCACGGUCCAUUGAACAUAGAAAAUGAUAGUGCGAGUGGGGCAUCCGUGUAUUAUGGACAUUUAUUGUCUGUUCUAUUGUUAUAAAGAAGUUUCCUAUCCUUUCCUUGAACACUAGGCUGUACUGAUAGUAAUGUACACUUCUAAGAAGAUCUAUGAUGAAUUAAAAAAAAAUCAGACAUUACAUGAAUCCACCCAUAUGGUAAACACUCCUUAACACUGACGGUCAUUUUUUCGUGUACUUAAUGAAAACCACAACCAAUUAAUUCAAUACUGUAAAGUUAUCUCUAACAAAUAAUU
rnacentral:lncRNA from 1 species